UGCGUAGGCGGGUCUUUAAGUCAGGGGUGAAAUCCUGGAGCUCAACUCCAGAACCGCCUUUGAUACUGAAGAUCUUGAGUUCGGGAGAGGUGAGUGGAACUGCGAGUGUAGAGGUGAAAUUCGUAGAUAUUCGCAAGAACACCAGUGGCGAAGGCGGCUCACUGGCCCGAUACUGACGCUGAGGCACGAAAAGCGUGGGGGAGCAAACA
rnacentral:rRNA from 1 species